CACAAACAAAACAAAACACCCUUUCUGUAACAAACAGCUAGCGUAUCAAACUAUCAAGAGAAGAAGGCAAUGGGGGGCAAAACCCAGUUUCUUCUCUGCCUGCUCGUUGCUUUCCUCCUCGUCGCCAUGGAGGUUGCGGCUGCCAGGAUGCUAGCUGAAACAAGUGACACCAGUAGCUACUCGGGGGGUUGGGGAGGCCCGCAACCGCAAAGUUAUGGUGCUGUUCCUGUUCCUACUCCUAGGCAACCAUAGGCCCGGAGAUUAUGUGUAUUGUACGACACUUAUAUUCUUAUUUCCACGUAAGUAAUUCAGGUUUACAUAUACUUCCACGACAAAUAAACGACACAUGCGCAGGUGGAGCGACAUGUAUCGAUAUCAUUCUUUGACAUGUAUCAAUGUAUCAUGAGUUCAUGACCGUUAAACUAUCCAUAUAUAUUGCCUUUUUUGGCCUAGCUGAUAUUUGUUGGUCUUUCAUGUUCAUUUAACUUUAUGAUGAUCAUCCCAAGUACGUAGUAAUAUUUUUGACAGUAGUUUGUGCCAAUGCAUCAGUUUUGCAAUGCAAUGCGGCCGGUGACAAGUCAUUGAGUUGUCCUUUUGCUUCCUUCAUCUCUCUUGUUAUUUCCUUUUCGUUUUUUUUUCCUUUUUGGGGAUAUACUCUACAACAUGGGCUAAGAAUUAAGAUGACAGGAAUAAUCACUGGCCGGUAGACAAUCAUACUUGUAGGAGCUUCGAAACUGAAUCCUUCUAUAGAUGGGGGCAAAAUACAGUUGGAAGAUGGGUUUGCUUCAUACAGAGACCGGGAUGAUCCCUUCUUUUCUUCACAAUAUAUAUGGCUUUACUUCAGAUGGAGGGGCCGCAGGGCAUGAAAACCACCCAGCACAUGGCCAACAGUGCUCGAGGUUCAUCGUAAACAGUCAGUUGGGGAAACGUAGCAUGAACGGAAAUGGGCAAUGGCUUGGCCGGCGUACGGACGCCAUUAGCAAAGGAGCAUGCAUGCUCAGAGAUCUUUGGUCGGCCGGAUAAACCCCAUAUAUACACUUUGUUAGAAAUCCAUACAGCGCGAACGGUCGAAAUCCUAGAAAAGAAUCAAGUCUUGUUUGAGCCAGAAUUUGUGUAGCACGUAGUACAUACUGAUUGGUGUAGUGAGUCCGUGCCGGAUCAUGCCACGACGCCACGCAUGUGUGUCGUCCACGGAUCGGAGUUCAAACCCGACUCGAACCCAAGCCCAAGCCCAAUUAACUUGUCGACCCAUCUAUAAAUGUACGCGACCCCAGCAAACACAGAAGCCCCAUCGAAAUCGCAAGCAAACCAACCGGCCAAGAGAAACAAACAACAGAAGCGAGAUCUCACCAAGAUGCAGAUCUUCGUCAAGACCCUGACAGGCAAGACGAUCACGCUGGAGGUGGAGUCCUCGGACACGAUCGACAACGUCAAGGCCAAGGUGCAGGACAAGGAGGGCAUCCCGCCGGACCAGCAGCGGCUCAUCUUCGCGUAGCUGGAGGACGGCCGCACCCUGGCCGACUACAACAUCCAGAAGGAGUCCACGCUCCACCUGGUGCUCCGCCUCAGGGGAGGCACCACCAUCAAGAUCAAGACGCUGACGGGCAAGGAGAUCGCCAUCGACAUCGAGCCCACGGACACCAUCGACAGGAUCAAGGAGCGCAUCGAGGAGAAGGAAGGCAUCCCGCCCGUGCAGCAGCGGCUCAUCUUUGGCGGCAAGCAGAUCGCCGACGACAAGACGGCCAUGGACUACAACAUUAAGGCCGGCGACGUGCUGCACCUUGUUCUUGCUCUCAGGGGAGGCCGCUGCUGA